rnacentral:tRNA from 1 species
UAGCUCAGUUGGUAGAGUGCUUGCCUUGCAUGCAUAAGGCUCUGGGCUCAAUCCCCAG